AUCACAUUUUAACAAUUUAAGUAUCAGGCAUUAGCUAUCAGCAAGUCAUUGCUAGGUUUUAACAUGUAUACAAAGAGAACAUAUAAACUGUAGUAGGAUGGGUUGCUAACAUGAAUGACUGUGAGUUAAUCAAGUGUUAUAGAGAUUUUGUGUAGUUUAGCCAUGGGGUCCAUAUUUUCCAGUAGAGUGGACUUUUGUUAUGGAUCAUGAGUGAUAUUUCUUCUAAUUGUCUUAUUUCAUUUAUAUUGUUUAGCCAUUCCAUGAAAGUAGGGGCUUCCGUGGAUUUCCAUUUUCUGGGUAUGAGGGCCUUUGCUGAUUGGAGAAGGUGAAGGGCCUAUACCAGCUAAUGUCCUAUCUAAGAAUUCCCAAGAUACCCUGUCAAAGGCUUUCUCUGCGUCAGUGGAAUGAAUCCAGCCUGGUCUGUGUGAAUCAAUUCGGUUUACUUCCAAGUGCUAUCAGAUGACCCCUUAACACACACUUCAAGGUUUCCCAGACUGUUGCCUGAUUGAUGUUGUCUAAAGAAUUUUCCUGGAUUAUUUGGGAUAUCCAUAAUUGGAUUUUUUUUCUGAUAUCUUCUCUAUGAAGCAUGGUUUCGUUUAACCGCCAAGUAAAUUCUUGUUUGGAGGUCUGGGGGAUUUUAAAUUUUAUUCUAACUGGUGCAUGGUCUGAAAGGUGGAAGUUUCCUAUAUCUGCUAAAUUAAAUAAAUGUAGCCAUCUUUGGGAUG